rnacentral:rRNA from 1 species
GACGAACGCUGGCGGCGUGCUUAACACAUGCAAGUCGAACGAUGAAGCCGGAGCUUGCUCUGGUGAAUUAGUGGCGAACGGGUGAGUAACACGUGAGUAACCUGCCCUUGACUCUGGGAUAACUGCGGGAAACUGUAGCUAAUACCGGAUACGACCCUCGGAGGCAUCUCCUGGGGGUGGAAAGAAUUUCGGUCAAGGAUGGACUCGCGGCCUAUCAGCUAGUUGGUGGGGUAAAGGCUCACCAAGGCGACGACGGGUAGCCGGCCUGAGAGGGUGACCGGCCACACUGGGACUGAGACACGGCCCAGACUCCUACGGGAGGCAGCAGUGGGGAAUAUUGCAUAAUGGGCGCAAGCCUGAUGCAGCAACGCCGCGUGAGGGAUGACGGCCUUCGGGUUGUAAACCUCUUUUAGCAGGGAAGAAGCGAAAGUGACGGUACCUGCAGAAAAAGCACCGGCUAACUACGUGCCAGCCGCCGCGGUAA